rnacentral:rRNA from 1 species
AUUGAACGCUGGCGGAAUGCUUUACACAUGCAAGUCGAACGGCAGCACGGGGCAACCUGGUGGCGAGUGGCGAACGGGUGAGUAAUACAUCGGAACGUGCCCAAUCGUGGGGGAUAACGUAGCGAAAGUUACGCUAAUACCGCAUACGAUCUACGGAUGAAAGCGGGGGAUCGCAAGACCUCGCGCGAAUGGAGCGGCCGAUGUCAGAUUAGGUAGUUGGUGGGGUAAAGGCUCACCAAGCCAACGAUCUGUAGCUGGUCUGAGAGGACGACCAGCCACACUGGGACUGAGACACGGCCCAGACUCCUACGGGAGGCAGCAGUGGGGAAUAUUGGACAAUGGGCGCAAGCCUGAUCCAGCAAUGCCGCGUGUGUGAAGAAGGCCUGCGGGUUGUAAAGCACUUUCAGU